rnacentral:lncRNA from 1 species
GUUCAAUUCGAAGUCAACCCGGAAAUUGUGCGUUGGGUUCGACUGAUGAAGAUAUUUCAGUUUCUACAUUAAUUGAAAAGUUUGAAGCAAUUCCUUCCAAUAUAAACACCGGGUUACUGAUGUGUCUGAAUUCGAGUAAGGUCCCUUCACUCGGCUGUGAAAAUGAAAUAAACGACGGAAGUAAAAUGAUAUGGUGCCUGUUAAAGGAAUUUUGUUACAUGGAAAAGAAGCCUGAUGUAAUCAAUAUGGUAGAAUGUCUUUCCACAUUCUUUGGAGUCAAUGUAUACGAUUUACCGAAAGAGGUUUUCGAUGCUUAUGUAAACAAAACAUACGUGUCUGUUGAUAGUAUUUACAACAAUAUCCAUACUGGAGUGAUUAAUUGUGAAUUGAUCUAUGGCGGUCAAUCAUUAAAUAGUCGAUCUCCUCUGGGUAAUCUAAAUCAGUUUACGCUUGAACAGAUAAGAGAAUUUAUAACUUGGUACAUUGAGUAUUAUAUCUCUUUAUAUAAUCAAAUUCCACUUGAUUAAAACGUACCUUUUUACGUUAAUAUAUCAAACUAUUCUUGAUGUAGCCUACAUUUAUUGAAAUGUAAUAAAAUAUAUAUUCAACUGCAUA